rnacentral:misc_RNA from 1 species
CAACGCCAACAACACAUACAUCUGUAAGGAAGAAAAGAUUAUCGACUGCUGAAUGUAGAUUUUUCUUUAAAGAAACACGUAGAAUGCACCUUCUUCACACUGAAUGUACAAACCAUGGUUGCUUAUACAUCCUUCUAUUGGUACGAAGGUACAAAGAGAGAAAAACAAACGGAACUAGGAAAACACACACUGCACUGCUAGUGAACCACCUGUUCUAUGAUUGGCGCUAUAACAUAGUACACAAUAAAGUAAACGCAGUAGCUUGCUACAUAGAGCCAAGUAAAGUAGUGUGUGCGGCACUCCCACCUGUGCAGUCCACCAAAGAGGGAGAAAAAUAGAACUUGUGGACGUAUUUCGCAGAAACUGGCGAAGAGCAUGCCAACAAAUCGUGAAAAGCUAGCAAUAGGCCCUAUGAACUGUCCGGCAAAGAGAUGCCGGCACACAUACACAAGAAUGAGAUAUGAGAAGAGCGCGCGCGGGGGUGAGGGGGCG